AAGAGUGUAAUAAGUACUGCUAAUACUUUAAUCCAAAAAUAAUAUUUUUGGCACUCUUA
rnacentral:tRNA from 1 species